CCACUGUCAUUGGCAUUAAAUGAAUCAAACCUUGAGAACCCUUGACCAUGGCCAGAGUCUCUGGUUUCUCUAAAUGAAUCAAAACUUGAUGGAAACCCAUGACUGUUAUCAGAGUCUCUAAAUGAAUCAAACCUCAAUGGGAACCCGUGACUGUUAUCAGAGUCUCUAAACGAAUCAAAUCGUGAGAACCCAUGACUCUGAUCAGAAUCUCUGAACGAAUCAAACCUUGAGAACCCGUGACUUUGAUCAGAAUCUCUGGAUUCUCUAAAUGAAUCAAACCUUGAUGGGAACCCAUAACUUAGAUCAGCGUCCCUAGUGCUGUUCAUGGAAUCAAAUCUUCCAAGUGAAUGGCGUGGGGAUUGAA
rnacentral:misc_RNA from 1 species